UAGCUAUGAUGUGGACAUGCAUUUAAGAUAUCCUUAAAUCUCUCCCAACAUUGGAAGAAGGUUUCUUCCUCUUUUUGAGAAAAAUUCAUAAUUGUCCUCCUCAGGGU